rnacentral:rRNA from 1 species
GAUGAACGCUGGCGGCGUGCUUAACACAUGCAAGUCGAACGGAAAGGCCCAAGCUUGCUUGGGUACUCGAGUGGCGAACGGGUGAGUAAAACGUGGGUGAUCUGCCCUGAACUUCGGGAAAAGCCUGGGAAACUGGGUCUAAUACCGGAAAGGACCACAUUUGGGAUGGUGUGGUGGAAAGUUUUUCGGUGUGGGAUGAGCUCGCGGCCUAUCAGCUUGUUGGUGGGGUAAUGGCCUACCAAGGCGUCGACGGGUAGCCGGCCUGAGAGGGUGUACGGCCACAUUGGGACUGAGAUACGGCCCAGACUCCUACGGGAGGCAGCAGUGGGGAAUAUUGCACAAUGGGCGCAAGCCUGAUGCAGCGACGCCGCGUGGGGGAUGACGGCCUUCGGGUUGUAAACUCCUUUCGCUAGGGACGAAGCGUUAUGUGACGGUACCUGGAGAAGAAGCACCGGCUAACUACGUG